GGCAAACGGGUGCGGAACACGUACGCAAUUUACCCUGGUCUGGGGGAUAUGCCCGGAGAAAUCCGGAUUAACACCCCAUAAGAUAUUAGAGUGGCAUCACUUAGAUAUUAAAACUCCGGUGGACCAGGAUGAGCGUGCGUCCCAUUAGCUAGUUGGUAGGGUAAAGGCCUACCAAGGCGACAUGGGUAGCUGGUGUGAGAGCACGACCAGCCACACGGCACUGAGACACGGGCCCAACUCAUACGGGAGGCAGCAGUGAGGAAUAUUGGUCCAUGGACGCAGUCUGGACCAGGCAUGCCGCGUGAAGGACGAAGGCCUUCUGGGUUGUACUUCUUUUAUUGGGGAAGAAACUUAUGGGUUUCUACUAUAACCGACGGUACCCAAGGAAUCAGCACCGGCUAACUCCGUGCCAGCAGCCGCGG
rnacentral:rRNA from 1 species